UAGGUUUUCACUUAUUCUAUGAAAAUGCUUUUUCCGUAUUACGGAAGCGUAUUGUACGGAAGCGUAUUGCAUUCACUUGGAUUAAAAAAAAAAAAAUCCUGUUUUUCUGAGUCAUUUUUUGGAGGGCUUUGUUUUUCUGACUAUUUUUUUCUGUUUUUCUGACUAAUUUUUUUUCCGCCUGUUUUUCUGACAAUUAUUUUCUGUUUUUCGGACAAUUUUUUUUUCCACCUGUUUUUCUGACUAUUUUUUUUCCUGUUUUUUGGACUAUUUUUUUCCACCGUUUUUUCUGACUAUUUUUUUCUGUUUUUCGGACAAAUUUAUUUUACACCUGUUUUUCUGACUAUUUUUUUUCUGUUUUUCGGACUAAUUUUUUUGCACCUGUUUUUCUGACUAAUUUUUUUUCUGAGUUAUCGGGACACACGAACUCACGCGAGAACCUGCGAACUGGAACUGGAAGUGACUCUUUGCGGACUCACUAAUGGCGGAUUACUGCUCGCACACCUUCAACCUGCCCAUACGCGUUUACAUUACCGCUUCAAUUAAGCAUUGCAAUGGCUACAUCCUCAACCCCUGGCCUCCCACAAGAUGAUGAUGGUCUGUGGGAAUUUCUACGCAACAGAGGUGUUCAUGAGGAGAGUAUUCAGAAAAUUGAACAAGAUCAUGUAAGUCACAGGACAUUUGUUCCUGCUGAUUGACAGCUCGAUAAUUGGAGAAAUAGAUGAUGCUGCUUUGGCCUCUUACAUUCCAGCCUAUGGUGAUAGGAUUGCUACAAGGCGUUUCUCAGUGGAAAAACAGAGAAGAGGUGGAGAUGAUACAAAAAGACUUUCCUUAUUCCAAAAACUUAGUAAGAAAAUGAGCACAAUGGGUAACAAAGCCUGUGAUCAUGGUUUUGAGGGAGAGAGAGCGAGAAUACAGUGAAACCAACAAAUGUGUACCUAAAAAAUAAUAAGCGAGCCUGGAAGACAACUCGAAAAAUAGAAUUAGGGUGGAUACAUGACAACAAACAAGUCAGAAAACGCAGCGGUGGAGGAACCAGAGUUCUGGAUAUUAACAAGAAUGCCACUAAAACUGAGAUCCUGUCUCAAGCAAAACAACUGGUUUUCCCGAAUGAGAAGUCAACAAUGGGAAAGUGGGAAGAGUUCAGUCAUGACAUCGUUAACUUUCAGGAAGCACAAGUUGAUGAGGACGUAAGUGUGCGGGAGUGUUAUGACACACACAAAUUAGCUUUGUUAAGAUUUUAUUAUUAAGACCCUUGCCGGUGGAGAUGACCAAGAGGAAGGAGCUGACAUACCGACAGAUGAGCAACAUGAAAACUCAACAGAAUGUGGACAAAAGAAACAAACAAUGGAAAAGGUGGAGCAGCUGACGAGGAAAAGACAUAGCAGUGAAAUAAGUCAAAUACACACAACGGAAGAUGAUGAGCUGAGCACUGCAGCUGUUCAGAUUAUUGAUCUUACGUCUUUGUGUAAUACAUCAGAGAUCAGUUUUGGUCCUUUGACAGGGGGUCCAUUUUUAGGUGAUCUUGAUGAUACACUCUUACAUGAUCCAAACCUUGCAAUAGAAGACGAACAACUAAACAUCCCCACUUACACCUCAACUCCUAAUGAUGCUGAGACAGCUUUUGGUAGACCACCAAGUCCUUCCUUUGAACUUUUACAUGUGACUGUGAAACUUCACCGAGUAACUCUCUUAGAUGAACUUAUAACCCAAUUCAAGGAUGAAGCAGUGAUGACAAACUCUGUGAAAUACAGCUUUAUCGAUGAAAUGGGGGCAGAUGCUGAUGGUGUGUCUAGGGAUGUAUACGCUGCCUUCUGGACAGAAUUCCUAGACUGUGCAGCAGCAGGUGCAGAUGUGAGGGUGCCAUCGCUCUCCCCGAAAUGGCAAGAGGAAGAAUGCAAAUCUGUUGGCAGGAUAUUGGCCAAGGGACUGAAUGACCAUGGGUAUUUUCCAUUUCGGCUGGCACAAGCCUUUACGGCAGCCAUCAUAUUUGGUGAACACUCCGUUUCAUCUGAUUUACUGUUUGACUCCCUGAUGUUGUAUCUUAGUCAAUCUGAGCGUCAUCUUUUGUCCACUGCUUUGCAAGAAGCUGUUAUCGGCGAUGAUGAGGAAGAGUUUCUUGAUCUUAUGGAUCGCAUGGGAGUAAGAACAGUACCGACACAAGAUAACUUGAGAGCUGUGCUUAUCCAGGUUGCAGCAUCCAAAAUAUGCAUUGGAUAAUAUUGCAGAGGUUGCAGGACCAACACUCAGGAAGUUUUUCCCUAAUGUAGAGGAUAUGAAGAAGCUGUAUGAGGACAUUAAACCGACAACACGAAAGGUAAUUAAAAUGAUAACAGCUUUUCCAGCUACUUCAGCAGAGAACCAAAGUUUGCGAUUUUUACAUCAGUACAUAAGGGGAUUGGAUGAAAUAAGUCUCCGGAAGCUGAUGAGAUUUCUGACCGGGUCAGAUGUUAUCUGUGUAAAAGAAAUUCAAAUCACUUUCACCUCUUUGGAAGGGCUAGCACGGCGGCCAAUUGCCCAUACUUGUGGCCCAACAGUGGAGCUGCCAUCAACUUACAGUAGCUAUCCUGAGCUUCGAGCUGAAAUGGAGGCAAUAUUGUCCAGCAACACUCAUGCAAUGGACAUAGCAUAAGAGUAAGUGACUGAUGUUCACAUACACAUUUUUCUGUUCCCCAUUCAGCCAGCUAUGAUUGUUUAGACUGUGAAUGUGGGCUAUAGCAUAUAAGGAGAAUAUUUUGUUAGCUUAGGGUCUGUGUAAGUAAUGCAAGAAACAAUAACUCACCCAAGCACAGAUUGAUUGAAAAUGUUCUUUCUACCCUUUCAACAAUUCACUUUUGUUAUCAGUCUAGGAUGGAUGGGAAUGUUUGCACGUUAGAAACACCAUUGUAUUUUUGCUGUUAUAAUAGAAUUUGAAUCUCUACCUCAUGUCAAAUGUUAAUACGACAGUGUUUGUGAGUCUGGUACAAGGUGGUUUGGGAUUUUAUGUUUGUUUUGCAAACAGAUUAUGUGUUACCUGUUUAGUCAUGUAGUUCAAGAGUCCUGCUCUGUGAGACAUGAUAUGUUUCAACCUGCAAUCUUUAAAUUGGACAUGUUUCUUUUCCAUGCUUGCAUUGUUAAAUGUUACGGGUAUUAAAUAUGUGCAAACUCAAGUAAAGAACUUGCUAUAUUCAAA